rnacentral:lncRNA from 1 species
UCAAGAGUACCAUGUGUACAACAAAGUUCUUCUCUUUGCAUGAAAAAUUUAGCUAUGUAAACUUACCCCUAUUACCUUAGUCCCUUAUGGGGCUUAUGGCUUUUCCUUUGUCUUAGGUGGUUGAGAGACAGAACAGUUUGACUUGAGCACUAACUUUCUCAUUCUUAGCAAGUUUCAUAUCAGAGGUUUUGUGAUAUUUUCAAAAGAAAGCUUAAAUGUUCCUCUUAUGGUUCUCUCAUGUCACUCAAAUGGUGUAUGAUUCCUCACCAAGGCAUAUGGUAAGAGUUGCCUUUUCUAUUUCAUCCUAUUUCUAAAAGGCUUAUGUGGAGUUCAAGGUAGGGAUGAAAGGAGAUAGCAUACUUACUUUGCAUGUAUUGCGAAGUCAAAGCUCGGAUCCUUGAAGAGAAGUGUCAUACUCCCAGAUCAAGAUGUGCAAGUGUGAUAUAUGGUGGACUAGGUUGCUCCUUUAUUUGAUAGACUCUCUAUGUAUUGAGACAUGGCUAGCAUUUGUUUUUUCUUCUCUUUUUUUUUUAAUAUAUGAGCUUUCAUGUGCUCAAUUUUCUUUUUCUGUGGACUUGCACAUGUCCAUCUUUUUAUUUCAUUUUGCCUAGCCUUUUGAUGUCUCAUUUACCAAAUAAUGCUUAGAGAGAUGUUCUAACAUUUAGAGUAUGGAGCAACCUAUUUAGUGGAUGCGAAAUACAUGUGGUUGCGUACUUCCAGUGUAGAAGCAGCAUAUAUAUAUGUGGUGUGUACGUGAUCUUGAUCUUAGGAGCAUGAAAAGUCUCUUAACAAGGGUCAACAAGACUUGACGACACUCAACACAAAGCAAAUAGCUUAUGUGGAAAGGUUGCAAUUAUGUAAAGUAGAUAUGGCUGUGGUAGGAAUUCAUCACCAUUGAGAAACAAUUAAGGUUUUGAUCAUUUUAAGAAUAAAUCUCUGAUAAUCAUGCAUGCUUAGAAAAAUAUUAUAGUAGCUCUUGUCUUACUAUCUCAUGUCCCACAACAACUUAGACUUAGUUCUAGCACUUGCAACCCACAAAGUUUUUAGGUUCAUGGCAGUUUAAGUGAGCUAAGUGAUCCAUACUUAGAGAAAUACUAAGUUGUAUACUAGGCACUAGAGAAAUAUUAACAAGCAACUAGUCAUAAUUUCCAUGAGGGAUAUAAACAUACAUGAAGCAUAUAUGCUAAAGGGAAAUGCUAAUAAAUAUUUAUAUUUUUUUUUAAGUAAGAAUGAUAAAAUGCAUGAAAAUAAAUAAGAUAGAAUACUUACCUUAGUGGGGGAGAGGAUCUCCCCCAAGCUAGAUCUUCGCUCACUGUGGUGGCGGGAAAUUUUGGUACCAUCCAGCCCAGCGUUGUGCGUCUUCCUCUCGCACACGUCGGAUAUGUUGGCCGUUUUGUAACGCCAGUUGCAAUGUUGCUUCUUGCCCAAUCUGCAAUUCGCCCAUGUCAUUAAUGAGACUGUCCAUACCUGUGGGCUGGUGACGCCUAGCCCUGUCCCUUGGGCGUGGAGUGCGUUGUGGAGGUUGUGGGGGUAUAAACCCCUAUACCCUCAUGGGCCUAUAUGGGCCGCACCAUCAGAGGUGGCUCGGCCCACAAGAUGAAGACGUGCGGCGCACGACUGGUCGGCGUGCACCGCAAGGCUACAAGAUUUUGUAACAAAUAGGAUACUUUGCUUGUAACUCUGUCCCUUCAGGAUAUAUAAGGAGGGGCAGGGGUCCCCUAGAGGACACAUCAGAUCAUAUUCUCUCAGCACAAAUCAAUACAACCAGACGCAGGACGUAGGUAUUACGCCAACUCGGCGGCCGAACCUGGAUAAAAAGCUUGUCCGUGUCUUGCGUCACCAUCGAGUUCGUAGUUUGCGCACCGUCUACCGAUAAACUACUGCCGUGGGUAUACCCCAAGGUAGACUGCCGACUAGCUUUCGUCGACAGUGGCGCGCCAGGUAGGGGGUGUGCGUACAGCCCUCGCGACGAACAAGAUGGCCAUCAUCCCCGACUUCGCAGCCAUGGCGGGCGGCUUCACGUUCACCGUCAGCUUCAACAGCUUCACCGCCACGACCACGGAGGAGGUGUAGAUCCGAUCUGCGCCAACCACUUCUUCAUCGACGUCGGCGGCGGCUUCAACCACGCUGGCUACGGUUUCGACCACACCAGCAGCGUCUCCGACCACGCCGACAAUGCGUCACCUGCUUCCCUACUACAAAGAGAGGCAGAUCGACGACAUCGAUCUGCUCGGGCUAACGACCAAGUUGUUUGGCCUACUUGCUCUGACCACCAGUCGCAAUAAUAAUCGCCGCGAAGAACGGCGCUACGACAACCGCGACCACCGUCACGAUAACAAGUCCAAAAGCUCGAGGGCCAGACAAUUUUGUCGUCACCGACCAGACUUUCAUCCAAAGAUAAGUACACUUCUAAUAUCUUAUUUAUUUUUGGCAUAAUAUUUUUUAUUAUCCUUCAAAAACAACUUUUUGUUUAGCCACACUAGUUUUUUCUCCUACACGAGCUUUCCAGAGCCGGUACUGUCUCCGACUCCUCCCUACACGUGCAUGAGAUCCGCCCUCUGCGUUCCGGGUGGUCGGCAGUAGCUCUCUGGCGAGGCUGGCAAUCCCACGCGUGUCUAGGUUCCGCACCUCAUGCUGAUUGUUGGCUAGACCAGAGCUGGUACAAGCUCUAGGAUGAAUUAACUACUUGUGCUAAUUUUAUAACAAAAAAUCUAAAACUUAUCUCAGUACUGAUUUUUAUCUAAAGUUUAUUUAUACAUCAUGUACUACCUAUUCUUUAUAUUUAUUUUUCAGGGGUUUGGCCCAGUCGACAAGCUACGCUCGGGGACUCGUCGACUAUUCCCUACGCUGUGCUCGGGGACUGCUCCGACCACCGAGCACGUUUACGUUCCCAACCACGCUCGGGGACUUGUCGACUACUCUCUAUGCUGUGCUCGAAGACUGUGCCGACCACCGAGCACGUUUACGUUCCCAACCACGCUCGGGGACUUGUCCACCGGUCCCUACGCCGUGCUCGGGGACUUUGCUGACCACCGAGCACUAUACGCUCGGGGACUGGUCGACCAGCUCACCAAUUUAUAAACUUGGGGACUGCACCGACCACCGAGCACUAUACGCUCGGGGACUGGUCGACCAGCCCACCAAUUUGAGAAUUCGGGGACUGUACCGACCACCGAGCGUUAUAUGCUCAGAGACUGGUCGAUUAGUCUAUUCAAUUACAGACGAGCAUGAUAUGCUCAGGGACUGGUAAAUUCAAUUUUUUAGACCUUGCUACAAGGCUCAUACUUCGCCUUCCAGCAAGCUCGGGGACUACAUCGGUACGAUGCAUCUAGCGAUGCAUCUCAGUCUCAAAACUACUUUGGGGAAUUUUCUUUUGACCCUGGCACCACGUGCCUACGUCACCUACUACCAGGCUCGGGGACUAAGUGGGCACACUUCACCUUGCGGUGAAUAUGCUUGCUAUUUUGAGGUCUAUACUUUUCAGAAAAGUAAAGUGGGCACACUUCAACAGGAAAGAAAUCUUUUUUAAUUAAGAGCACCAUGCAUUCUUCGAACAACCUGCUUCUUCGAUGUCAAUGUUGAUCAACUGUCUUUUGAGUUGGUCAAAAUACCGUUGCAACUGUUCGGGCGACUUUCCUGCUUAUUGAAGACGUCAAGCCUCACUGAUCGAAGAAGCUCAAGACGGCGUGUUACAUCAUAAUACAUGGUGCUCGGGGACUAGCUGUGGGGGUAUAAACCCCUAUACCCUCAUGGGCCUAUAUGGGCCGCACCAUCAGAGGUGGCUCGGCCCACAAGAUGAAGACGUGCGGCGCACGACUGGUCGGCGUGCACCGCAAGGCUACAAGAUUUUGUACCAAAUAGGAUACUUUGCUUGUAACUCUGUCCCUUCAGGAUAUAUAAGGAGGGGCAGGGGUCCCCUAGAGGACACAUCAGAUCAUAUUCUCUCAGCACAAAUCAAUACAACCAGACGCAGGACGUAGGUAUUACGCCAACUCGGCGGCCGAACCUGGAUAAAAAGCUUGUCCGUGUCUUGCGUCACCAUCGAGUUCGUAGUUUGCGCACCGUCUACCGAUAAACUACUGCCGUGGGUAUACCCCAAGGUAGACUGCCGACUAGCUUUCGUCGACAGAGGUAGACCCAUGGAGUCUAAAGCAUCCACUGACAUCGCUUCAUCGCCCUCUUCAACGUCAUGGUGCGAGGAUCCUCCUUGCUCCAUCUGGGCGGCUUGCAUCAUCCUUCUUGUCACCCUGCGUG